UACGAAGGGGGCUAGCGUUGUUCGGAAUUACUGGGCGUAAAGCGCACGUAGGCGGAUUUGUAAGUAGGGGGUGAAAUCCCCGGGCUCAACCCGGGAACUGCCUUCUAGACUGCAAGUCUUGAGGUCAGGAGAGGCGAGUGGAAUUCCGAGUGUAGAGGUGAAAUUCGUAGAUAUUCGGAGGAACACCAGUGGCGAAGGCGACUCGCUGGACUGAUACUGACGCUGAGGUGCGAAAGCGUGGGGAGCAAACAGG
rnacentral:rRNA from 1 species